ACUGUGAAAUGUCUAAUUUUGUUUCAGAAUCAAGCCUAAAUUACCAGGGGAUUAGCUUGAAUCAAAUAUAGUUAAGAACAGGGGAUAUGCCUUGGACCGGAACCAUUAAGCCAAAGGGAAUGUAUGAUGUAAUGACUUUUUGUUCCAAAAUGGUUGGGUCAAUGCACAGCUCUACUAACAAUGUGCCAGUCUAUCAGAGUCCAUAUCUCUUCUAAUAAUUGUGUUCUUCUUUUUAAUAAUAUUUAUAUGGAAUCUGAUGAGUGUGAGAUAGAAUCUCAAAGUUGUUUUUAUGUAUUUCUCUUAUUAUUAGUUCUUUGCAGCAUUUUUCAUCUAGUAGGUAACAGUUGGCUUUUCUUCUUUUGAGAACUACCUCGUCAUAUCCUUUGGCCAUCAUAGUAUCUGCCAAAAAUGAUUAUAGUUUUGCUGUUUAUUCCUUUAGUGCCAGGGAGAGGAUAGAUCACAGACACAUAGCUAUAUUUACUUUAACAUAUAAGGAAAUUAUUCAAACAAAAAAGAGCAAAUAUCAUUACCCAAAAGAUACGUGGCCAAAGAAGAGCUUGAACUUUAUUCCAUAAAGUUCCUAUCAGCUCUAAAUCUAUAUAGACUAUGACUUUUCUUCCUUUUCUUUAAAAAAUAUUUCAUUGAUGUCUUUUUUACACUAAAUCCUACUUUCAUUCCUUCCUUUCUCCUCAUAGAGAGCAAUCACACAUACAGUUUUUUUUUUUUUAAAGAAAAAGAGGAAGGGAAAAAUGAGCAAACCAAUCAAUACUUUGGAAAAUUUAACAAGAUAUCAAAUAUUCCACACCUGUGAAGUCCACCCUUACAUCUCCCUUCUCCUUCCUCUUGAUUACAUUAGCAAAAUUCAGGCAAAUACAUUCUUUCCAGUCAUUGCUGUGCUCCAUCUGUGGCUAGGAACUCAUCAUUGUUAUAUUUUCUUUCUCUUCCUUUCUUCCUUUCUUCCUUCCUUUCUUUCUUUCCUUUCUCUCUCUCUCUCUCUCUCUCUCUCUCUCUCUCUUUCUCUCUCUCUCCCUUCCUUCCUUCCUUCCUUCCUUCCUUCCUUUCUCUCUUUUUCAUUCAUUUAUUUCUUGUUCUGGUAUUAUCACACAAAACAUAUUUCUAUAUUAUUAAUUUUUAUAGAUAAAUAAUUUUAAAGAACUAAAACCAUAUAAAAUAUAAACCAUAAAGAACUCCAAACAUAUACCCAAACAAGCAAGUGAUAAGGCAUGUUUUUAUUUGCAUUUCUACUCCAACAGUUCCUUCUCUAAAGGUGGUUAGCAGUCUUUGUCAUAAAAAUCCCUCAUAAUUGUCCUGGAUCAUUAUAUUGCUAUUAGAAGCAAAGUCUAUCACAUUUGAUCAUUCCACAAUAUCAUCACUCUUAUAUUUUUCUGUAGAUUCAAAAAUAAAAUAAUUUGAAAUUUGUGAGACA
rnacentral:lncRNA from 1 species